rnacentral:rRNA from 1 species
CCUACGGGUGGCUGCAGUGGGGGAUAUUGCACAAUGGGGGGAACCCUGAUGCAGCGACGCCGCGUGGGUGAAGGAGCGUUUCGGCGCGUAAAGCCCUAUCGGCAGGGAAGAAAAUGCCGGUACCUGUCCCAGAAGCCCCGGCUCACUACGUGCCAGCAGCCGCGGCAAUACGUAGGGGGCAAGGGUUAUCCGGAUUUUCUGGGGGUAAAGGGGGCGCAGACGGGAAUGCAAGCCAGGAGUGAAAGCCCUGGGCCAAACCCCGGGACUGCUUUUGGAACUGCAGGGCUGGAGUACAGGAGGGGAAGGCGGAAUUCGUAGUGUAGCGGUGAAAUGCGUAGAUAUUAGGAGGAACACCGGUGGCGAUGGCGGCCUGCUGGACUGUGACUGACGUUGAGGCACGAAGGCGUGGGGAGCAAACAGGAUUAGAUACCCGAGUAGUC